rnacentral:tRNA from 1 species
GGUUGUGGCUCAGUGGUAGAGCGCUCGCCUAGCAAGUGCAAGGCCCUGGGUUGGAUCCUCAGCACCA